AUGACUUCGCUGUUGGCCCGUCCCUCUACGAGCCUCGACCGUCGGGCCCCCGUUUUCCCUCCCGGCGCUGGCCACUCCAUCGCCCUUCCGACAGGGGCACCUCCUCCGCCUCCGCUUUGCGUAUGUGGGAUCACACAACCACUGAUCAUAUGGCCGGUUCCUCAGGUCGGGCACCAGAUGCUCCGAACCUGCCAUAUCAUGCUCGGCUAUGGCGGGAACGAUACGAUCGCCUGGGCCACCUCCCAUGGUCCUCGGCAGCUCCAAAUAAGAGGGCGGUGGAGCUUCUGGGUCUCGAUCAUCACAGACGUGAACAUGACAGGCAGGACAGGCGGCGUAGGAAAGGCGCGCGAUCGAGAGACGGCCGCCUUUGGCAUCACAAGACCUCGAUGUCGUCAUGGCAGUCAGACGCGUGAUGCGUGCGGCAACGCGUCCUCACUCCCAGACAACUCGCAGUCGUUCCCCGACGACGACGCUUGCGGCUUGCCCCGCCGCCCUAUGCAGCCCUCCCGCCGUCAGCGUCCCGGCGCCGCCUUCCAGCGCAGAUGGGAGGCCGCCGCCUUGAGCUCGCGCCAGCUCAGCUGCAAGUCAGCCGUGGACGAGGUUGACCUGCACACACGGGAGAUGGCGCAGAGUGCUGGCCGCGAUCGCCGCGGCGGCCGUAUCUCUGGCUACUCCUCCAGCGGCUCCGCCGUCGCCGUCGCCCGAAGCCUUGCUGACUUCGCCCUGGCCACAGAAAGCGGCGGCAACGUUAGGGUGUUCGCUGCCUAUUGCGGCAACUGCAGGCUCCGGCCCUCCCACGGACUGGUGCACACUGAAUAUGUCGUCCUGAUGGCACAUAUGUUCGACACUGUCGGUUUCAGUUAUGCUUAUGCGAUAUUUGCCCCGCGAUGGAGCCAGUCGAACAUAUGUUGCUUUCAAUGCAGGGCCGGGUCGAGCUGUGGAAUGCCCUGGGGCUACUCACUGAAGCACUAUACUCCUCCUACUCAUUGUCUUUGUUUCCAUUGA
rnacentral:rRNA from 1 species